CGCACGGUGGCUUAGUGGUUAGCACGUUCGUUCACACCUCCAGGGUCGGGGGUUCGAUUCCCACCAUUGCCC